CAGCCGCCACGGUAAUACGUAGGGUGCAAGCGUUAAUCGGAAUUACUGGGCGUAAAGCGUGCGCAGGCGGCUAAUUGAGUCGGAUGUGAAAUCCCCGAGCUUAACUUGGGAAUUGCAUUCGAUACUGGUUAGCUAGAGUGUGGGAGAGGAUGGUAGAAUUCCAGGUGUAGCGGUGAAAUGCGUAGAGAUCUGGAGGAAUACCGAUGGCGAAGGCAGCCAUCUGGCCUAACACUGACGCUGAGGUACGAAAGCAUGGGGAGCAAACAGGAUUAGAUACCCCAGUAGUCCCUGUCUCUUAUAC
rnacentral:rRNA from 1 species